CUGACCGUAAACGAUGCCAUCUAUCGAUCCGUUCGUGGAUUUUAUUCAUGGACGGGGAGGCUCCCGGAAACGAAAGAUUUUCGGCUACGGGGGAAGUAUGGUUGCAAAGCUGAAACUUAAAGGAAUUGACGGAAGGGCACCACCAGGAGUGGAGCUUGCGGCUUAAUUUGACUCAACACGGGAAAUCUCACCCGGUCAGUACAUUGUAAGGAUUGACAGACUGAUAGCUCUUUCAUGAUUCGGUGAAUGGUGGUGCAUGGCCGUUCUUAGUUCGUGGAUUGAUUUGUCUGCUUAAUUGCGAUAACGAGCGAGACUUUGACUAUUAAAUAGCGCGGGAAUUCUUUGUUGUACCCGAUCGCUUCUUAAAGGAAUUUAUGGUUUCGAGCCUUAAGAAAGUGAGCAAUAACAGGUCUGUGAUGCCCUUAGAUGUUCGGGGCCGCACGCGUGCUACAAUGAUGGUGGCAGCGUGAUUGUCCUUCUCCGAGAGGAGUUGGCAAACAGUUGAGAUAUUAUUAUGGCUGGAAUUGAGUGUUGAAAUUUUCGCUCAUGAACGAGGAAUUCCAAGUAAAUGCGAGUCAUCAACUUGCAUUG
rnacentral:rRNA from 1 species